GGGGCGAAGGUGUGCUGACGAGCCGGAGGAAUCAGAUUGAGAGCUUCAUAGCGAGGGGUUGGAAUCCUCUGAUUCUCUGCAUUGUACCCCGGCUGAUACUUGGUUAAGUCGGUGUCAUUCCCGAUGAUGGUGGCCACCGGGCGUACAACCUUCACACACGCCGCGAAAUCCCUCUGGUCGAAGGCUGAGCCAUCUUCCUUCAGGCUUGGGUAACCCAGGGCGAUGUCUGCCGGGUCUAGCUCCGGCAGGAAUGCUUUGGCCCGGCUCAGCGCGGCGAUUGCUCCGGCUCUCACGGAUGCUCGUCGUAGCUCCUGGAUCCGCUGCGGCAGAACUGCGAGCCGGCGCAGGACUUCGGCCAGAUGAGUUGGCACCUCGUUGGAUAGGGCCACCACAGCUAAGGCACGUUGUGACCCGGUGUAGAGCUGUUCCACCAGGGUGUACACGGCCUUUAACUUGGUGACCACGCUCUGGUUAAGGUUGGCGCUUCUGGGACCUAUUUAGCAACAUCAGAUAAGCCGGUGACAAAGAUGAAUCAGGAGAUGUAAACAUGGAUGAAAGCCGGUGAGGAGACUUACCGAAGAUGGCGGCUACCAUUUGGGAAACCUGGCGCUUUAGGCCGGAGAGCUCGGCGGUUUUCUCAGAAAGCGCCUUCUCCGCCUGUUCCGCCCGGGUCACCAGUGCGGCCUUCUCCUCAGCCCAGGCCUUCCGCUCAGCAUCAAAUUCGGUCUUCAGCUUCUCUUGAGCGGCGAUGCUGGAGACAAACUUGGCGUUUGCCUUCCGGGUCUCCAUCUCCUGUGUCUUCAGCCGGCUCUUGAGAUCCGCAAGGUCCGAUUCUAAUUUCUUGCCAACAGCCUGCAUAUAUUUCCGGGUUAUUAACAGUUAUUAUAUAAGUCCCAAGCGCUUUCCAAGCAAAGACACUUGGCACUUGGGGGCUAAUGCAUAUUGAACGUAUCUAUCUACGUACUGCCGGCUCAGUUGAGUAAGCCGGGACCUAAGUCUACAACAUAUUCAAGUAUAAGUCGUCGACUUGGGGGCUAGCAUGACAAAGGUCACUAUGCAGUAAGUAAGAAGACAGCAGAAGGAUACCUCAGAUUUUUGUUGGAUCUGAUUGACCAUGGCGAUCUUGGCGUCCCGGCUCUUGUGAACUUGGCUGAUGUAGCCAGAGACGAGCUCUCCAAUGCUCAAGUCGGUGUAGCUGGAGAGGUCCAGAUUCACCCGGUGGGGCUGCAGCAACUCCCCCUUCGCGGAGCAUUUGGCUAGCACGGUCGGUCUCCCCGGCUCAACAUACUCCGUCCGGGUAAUUACCACGUCCGGGUCGUCAGCUGGUGGGGCUGAGCCGGAGGCCUCCGGGUUAACCGACGCUUCGGUCGUUGUCUUGGUAGUCGGGGCAGGGGCUUCAGGCGCCGUGUCCAUGGGAAUGGUGGCCUCGGGGGCGGAGGCAGCUGGCGGCUCUUGAGCCGUCGCCUCCGGCUCAGGCAAGUCUGGCACUCCGGCUGACCUGGUCUUCUUUUCUCUUUUGGUGAGCUUUGCCUGGGCACUGAAAAGGCAUAAGUGUUAGCCAUACAAAGAGUAAGUACAGACAGAUAAUGUAAGGAGAUUGUUAUUACCCGGGUGCAGUCUUGAAGGCCGGCAGACUUGACUGCAUGGAGUCACCCGAAGAGGGGGAGGUCUCCUGAUAAUUGGAGUCAGAAGAGUUGAGUGGCUGACGGAUAACACCCGCCAACGGAUGAAAGGGGUACAGGUGAGAAAAAACCUCAGUGCGACGCUUCCUAGUUGCGUCGGGUAACCCGGCGGAGAGGUCGGUGUCUUUGCGGGCCCGGGUGUGACGCCGACUUUCGUGAACCUGCUGCUUCAAAAGAAAUUGAGGGUCUUGAUGAGCUAAUGGAUGUGAAAAGCUUACUUUCCGGGUUACUCUUCGGACUUUCAGCUGUGGCAAAGGCUCCGAGUCGGAGGAAAGUGAUAUUACCUCUUCAACCACCGGGUUACUGGCGCCGGUGUCAUCCUGUCAAUGAGCAAAUGUUGAUAAGGCGGACAGCAACAAACAACAAAUAUGGCACGACUUUAAAGGUUUAAGGAUUACCUAUGACUCGGAGCUGUCGCUUAAUUGCAGUAGCUCCGAAGCAGUGGGUCUGCUUCCCUUUUUGCGAGGGGCGGCUUUCUUGGCGGCUUUCUUUGCUUUCCGGGCUUUCUUGGCCGCCUCAUGUUCGUAUUUGACCCGCCAGAAUUUAUCAUCAGCCUGAGAGAUACAAUGAUUGAUUCUUAAAACGGUUCAGUUGAAGGUUAUAUGCAGACAAAGAUAAAGGUUAAAGUCAGCGGCUUACCGCUAGGGCUGGAUUGGUCUUGCAGAAGGGGGCUAGCCCGGUUCUUCCGCAGUCUGCCAAGCUCUCGUUUAGAAGAUCAUUGCGACUGUGCCUCUGCGGGUCAUCUUUUCGCCCGGUGUACUCACACAUUAAGCCGGGGCGGCGGCUCAAUGGGAUCACCCGCCAUGAGAUCCAGACCCGGACCAGGUCAAUUCCGUUCAGACCGUUGCCUAGCAGGGCCUUGAUCUUAUUGAUCGUUGGAAGCAGAGGCUGGCGUUCCGCGGCAGUCAGUUUGUCGGAUAGCGGAUGAGUCGGCUCUAGGCGCGUUGGGCGAAAGCCGGGCAGCGGGUUCUCAUCAGCCGGGGACGUAUCUUGGCAAUAGAACCAAGUCAUAUUCCAGUCCUUAGGGUGGCUCGGCGGCUCUGCGUAAGGGAACAGACAGUCCCUACGCUGCUGGAUGGAGAUGCCGCCUAAUUCCAGACUUGGCCCGUUGGCACACUCAUUUUGGCGGUUUAAAUAAAAUAGCUCUCUGAAGAGCAGCAGACUCGGCUCUUCUCCGAGAUACACUUCACAAAAGACUUGGAAGUUGCAGAUGUUGGAUACGGAGUUGGGUCCUAUAUCCUGAGGCCGAAGGUCAAAGAAGUUGAGCACGUCCCGGAAGAAUUUUGAGCCGGGCGGUGCGAAGCCCCGGCUCAUAUGGUUCGCAAAGAUCACUACCUCCCCGUCCCUCGGCUGUGGUCGUUCUUCUGACGGAUCAGGGGCACGGUAGGACAUCACUUCCUUCUUGGGCAGAUAUCCGGACUUAACGAAGUUGGCCAGGGUCUCGUCGGUGACGUUGGAUCUCAUCCAGUUGCAAGUGAUGGGAGCCUUGGGAGGCAUGGUGAAGGUUGGUGGUCUAUGAUAAAGAGAAAAGUGUCCGGGUUAAUUGUAAGCCGGAGAUUAUCAUUCAAACUAAGAUGGCGGCUUAUGAAGGGGACUAAUGAUAUAUAUUCAGAUACGGUGGGUUAUUUAAGCCGCAGGGGGAUUCAAAGUAAUUUGGUUAUCUACGGUUUAACCAGAGUUAAGCCGGAGGAUUCUACAGAGCAUAGUUCUCUUCAAACCGGAAAAGUUCUAUGGCGCAUGUUUUCUUUAAACCGGAGAUAUAAGCCGCCAAGAUUCAAGGGCUGCAGUUUUUACUAAGUGUGGUAAAACAGGUUUCACAUAUUGCAGUAACUUUUUUGGAUCAAAAUGGUCGGGUGAAAUGAAAAUUUUCUAGACCUAAAAAACAGAGGCAGGAAAAGUUCUUGAGGUUGAACACGGUUCUUAUGCAGUAAAAGGAGGGCUUCUUGCAGGUGAAAUGGAUCUCAAACAUCUACCGCAGUGGUUCUACGCAGAGUUAAGAUCAAGAGAAGGGUGGUAAAAAACAAAACUACCGCAGGCCGCAACGAACUAUGAAGAACUAGAGGAACCCUACUGUAGAUCUACUCUACGGGGUGGUGAGAACUUACCGGAGCUGAAGAGGUGCGGGAGUCGCCGCCGUUUGUCUGGUCCGGGUCAGGGUGAUGCAGCGGCCAAGGUUGACGAAGGUCGGAGGCGAGACGACGGCGGCGGAGCACGAGCUCGGGCAGAGGAGCGACGACGCGAGGAGGAAGAAAGGGAGCGUGAGAAGAGCACGUUGGGCCGGCCUAUUUAUAAGGCGAAGUCAUAACUGGGCGCGAGAUUCAAGGAGACCACGGCGUGGUUAUCUCCCCCUCAUGACGCCUCGAUUUUCGGAAAGACAGUAAAAGCAAAGAUCCGUUGCGGAUCUGGCGGAGUAAAAAACGGACUUAAUGGAGGAUGACGUCAUGGCAUAUUAUCCGGAGUCCAGAGGAUGAUGUCACUCCGGGUUAUGGCCUUCACAUGAAUGGUAAGCCGGAGAUUUUCUCUGUCGGCAGAGUUGAAGAUUGACACGAGCCGGAUCAAGUCAAUCUGGGGCCUAAUGUUGAGGAUAUAGACCUUAGAGUCACCCGCCAGGAGGGGCCGGGUUACUCUUCGGAUGGUCAUUGCCAGAAGCCCGGAGCCAAGUUUCAAGACGAUGGGCCAGAGAUGCGCUGAGACCCGGAUAUGGCUUAGGGCCUGUAGUUACAAUCAUUAUUAUAGAAGACUUGUAGUGUAAGGCAAGUAUAGUUUAGAGUCUGAGCCGGACGUUCUUAUGAGCCGGCCGGGACUCUAAGGGCUGCUGGGCGUCAGCGUCCCUAUAUAAAGGGACGACCCGAUAGCGGUUCGGGGCGACAACAAUCUGAUGGAGAGCCAGGCAUAGCUAUUUAGCUCCCUGGCGAUCGUAACCCUAAUCAAUAACACCUCAAACUGGACGUAGGCUUUUACCUUCACCGUAAGGGGCCGAACCAGUAUAAACCUUUGUGUUCCUUGUCCCGCAUAACCCCUUCAAGCUUCCUAGUUGCGAUGGCUCCACGACUAAGUCCUAGCUCGAGGACAUCUGCCGUGACAACUCCACGACACUUGGGGUCCCAUGAGAAUCAGGCCCUGAUGAAGUCGUGCUCCUGCUGGUCGGUGAACUCAGCCAAUGGGUCCGGGAUCCCCUGACGUUCACGUUCUGCGUCCUCCUUAGCCCACACGGGCCUCUUUCCCGUGUAACCACGACUUCCAAGGCGGUGGUUCCCCAUGUUCUUUGCCUGCAGCUGCUUGCCUCUCUUCGACCUGGCCUUGGCAGCUUCUUCAUUGCAUGUCUCCUUGAACUUUUCAAAGUCCUGUAUCGUAAUUUUCGGAUUGUCCGCAACAAUCUCGGCAUAGGUUUCAUGGUCUACUUGAAUCGCCUUUUUUACCCUAGUUUUCCAAGCACUCAAUGCGUUGCUGAACUUCCCUAGGUCUUUGUUGUUGAUUUUUUUCAUGGCAUCAUCAUCCCACGGGUCGAUUUCGUCAUUCCGACCGGGGAACAGGAAUCUUGCGUGCAACCUAGUUAGAAUCAGCUUCUUCAAAUGUUCAUUCUUCUGUAUUUGUGUGGUGUUGAUGUUAGCGGUAUCCCGUAGGAUGCAUGCUAGUUGGUUGCCGUAACACGCUGCCACUUCUCGCGGCUCUAUUGGCUCGAACUCGCCAGGGUGCACCGCCGUGACCACCAGUCUUUCGGUGCCGAGCUCAUUUGGGCGUCGUGUCCUCUUUUCCUUCUUUCCCUCACUGGCUUGGGAGGUCCCACCUUCCGUGCUAUAGUUAGGAACGUCAUCAGCGCCAGGCUCAGUGCCAUUGUCGUUGGUGGCAUCAGUGUCGGCGCCGGCGCCACCACACUCGUCAUCCGUCAUGACAAGGCGGUGCGGACACCCAGCUUCCUGUCUCUCCUGAUCCGCCAGAAAGUCGAGGUAGGCGUGUGCUCGACCUAAUUGGGACUGAGAACCUCUGGCCUCAUCGGUGUUGGUCAUGUUUCCUAGGGUUCAAUGUCGUAGUCGUUUAGUUAUCAAGCUUUAUAUAAUAAAGUGAAUAAUGACAAAAAAGUGACCUUUGUUUUGCCAGAAAUGUCAUUUCAUUCCCGUCGCGACAAAUCUCAAGUACUCGAUAUGUCCAACUUUCUAGCACAAGUCAUGCCGAAAUUCACGGAAAAUUUCGGCAUGACCUUUGCUAGAAAGUGCACAUAUAGAGCACCUGAAAUUUGCCGGAAUGGAAAUGAAUCAAAAUUUUCGGCAAAACAUAGGUCACUUUUUUAACAGCAAGCAUUUCAGCACUCUAACAACCAUUUUAACAGCCACAUUAUGAGCACUCUAAGAAGCUGAAACAAACAUCACAGACUUUGUUGCUGCUGACAUAUACACAAUCAUGAUCAUUGCUGCCCAACUGAUGCAAAAAAGAUCAACUACCAUAGUAAAACUGCAAGCUCAUUAACGAAUCUAACAACUCCACUCCCCAUUGCAUCAUUAUGAACACUUUAACAGCCACAUUAUGAACACUCCCCCUUGCAUCAUUAUGUGCUGACAUAUGAAGAGGGAGGGAAGAGGGGGUGGCGCACCUCGGGGUUGGGAUCAGGGUCGGGGUCGCCGGGGCNNNNNNNNNNNNNNNNNNNNNNNNNNNNNNNNNNNNNNNNNNNNNNNNNNNNNNNNNNNNNNNNNNNNNNNNNNNNNNNNNNNNNNNNNNNNNNNNNNNNNNNNNNNNNNNNNNNNNNNNNNNNNNNNNNNNNNNNNNNNNNNNNNNNNNNNNNNNNNNNNNNNNNNNNNNNNNNNNNNNNNNNNNNNNNNNNNNNNNNNNNNNNNNNNNNNNNNNNNNNNNNNNNNNNNNNNNNNNNNNNNNNNNNNNNNNNNNNNNNNNNNNNNNNNNNNNNNNNNNNNNNNNNNNNNNNNNNNNNNNNNNNNNNNNNNNNNNNNNNNNNNNNNNNNNNNNNNNNNNNNNNNNNNNNNNNNNNNNNNNNNNNNNNNNNNNNNNNNNNNNNNNNNNNNNNNNNNNNNNNNNNNNNNNNNNNNNNNNNNNNNNNNNNNNNNNNNNNNNNNNNNNNNNNNNNNNNNNNNNNNNNNNNNNNNNNNNNNNNNNNNNNNNNNNNNNNNNNNNNNNNNNNNNNNNNNNNNNNNNNNNNNNNNNNNNNNNNNNNNNNNNNNNNNNNNNNNNNNNNNNNNNNNNNNNNNNNNNNNNNNNNNNNNNNNNNNNNNNNNNNNNNNNNNNNNNNNNNNNNNNNAGCGGGAGGGGGUUAGAGAGAGAGAGAGAGCCAGGGCUGAGGGGUCGGAGAGAAAGGAAGAGGGGGCGGGGGGCCAUACCGGAGCGGGAGGGGGUCGGUGGCCAACGUCAAGGUCGGGGCUGAGGUUGAGUUCGACAUCGGCUGCGGCGUGGGUGGUGAGGCGUGGGCGGCGGCGUGGGCGGGGCGGCGUCGGCGGCAGCGUGGGAGGGGCAGUGUCGGCGGCGGCGUGGGCGGUGCGGCGUCGGCGGUGGCAUCAGAGAAAAGGGGAUCGACGAGCGGCGCGAGUGAGAGAUAGGAAAGAGGGGAGCUAGCAGACCGGUGCUGUAGGCAAGUUAGCUAUAGCGCGUGUGGGCAAAACAGCUAGACACACACAAACUUUGGAUAAUAAUUAGUAUAAUAUCCAAAAUAGCUAAACACACACAAACUUUGGGGAUUAGUUUGUCAGCUUGGGCGACGACGACGCUUCAGACGGAUCUUCUUCCCUCUUUUGUUCGUUGUCGAGUAAUUGAGCCCAUGGUCGUGACAUUUCCUUCUCCAGGGAUUACGAUCUUUCGUAGGUAAUGUAGUCUUCAUUCUUCUUUUGACAUAUGUUUCGUCGUCAUCAGCAUCAUCUUCCAUCAUCGGAUCACCGUACUGGUCAUAGUCUUCCUCGUUGGCGACUCCAUCCAUUCCGGUGAUGCUCCUUUUGCUUCUCCUCACGACAACACGGCUGGGAUUGAUCAGAUCAGUUAUGAAGAAACAUUGUGUCACGUGUUUAGCGUGUACCCAUGGCUCAUUUUUGCCGAUGGCGUUGACGGUACCGCUAUCGGAGUCGGGUAUACACAUGGUAGUGAAAUGUCAGUUUUCUCUGUGUACAUUCUUAGCCAACUAACACGGAACAUCGUCGCGCUAUGCAAUCUAGAGUAGUUAAGCUCCCAUAUCUCUUUGACCCUUCCGUAAUAUCUUUCUAUUACAUUCCCGGUCAUGGCUUCCAUCGUCACCCCUGAGUUUUGGUCAUCACUGUUUAUAUCUUUCUCCUCCAUGUAGAACGUGUAUCUGUUGAUAUCGUAUGCUUGAUAAGUCGCGAGGUUGGUCGAGGGGCCAUGUGCUAAGGCAUAUAUGAGUUUUCCGUUCGGACAACCCUCUUCUGGGGGAUUAGCCAGAACUUGCUCUUUGAACCAUCACACGAAAGUGGAGGUGUGCUCUCUAAUAACUUCAGCGUCCGUCCUGUGCACCCCACGGUCACGGUACUUGUUUGUGAUGGUCUCUUUGUGCAGUCUCACGAAAUCUUCUAGCACAUCUAGGUGUUGUAGCACUACUAAGUUUGCCCUAUCAAGGUCGUUUUGUCGGCCCGAGCGUAACACAUUCACAUCCCUAUGACCGUUGGUGUGACCUGCGCCUUCGAGCCUUCCACAGUGCUUGUUGAUGGGCAAACCAACAACAGGGUCUUUGGUCAGAUAACUCUCACAGAAAGAGAUGCACUCUUUGGUCAGAUAUCCCUGGGCUAUGCUUCCAUCUGGACGGGGCAUGUUACGAACGAAUCCUUUGAUGACCCCAUUCAUCCUCUCGAACGGCAUCAUGCUAUGUAGGAAUGUCGGCCCUAGGUCGAUGAUGUCGUCCAUGAUGUGGACACAUGGAUGCACCAUGACAUCAAAGAACGCGGACGGGAAGUACAUCUCUAGCUCAUUCAGUAUGACAACGAUAUCUUUCUGUAGCCUAUGGAGUUGCUUCACACUGAUCGACUUUCGAGAGAUAGCAUCAAAAAAGUGGCAUAGGUCAGUAAGCGUCUCACGCACAUGUGUGUCCAUAAUCCCUCUAAGUGCAACCGGGAGUAACUGCGUCAUCAUCACAUGACAGUCGUGAGACUUCAUCCCACUGAACCUUUUUUUCUUAGUGUCCAGAUAUCUGCUUAUCUUCCCACAGUAUCCGGAACUAACUUUGAUUCCGGCAAGGCACUUGAACAAUUGAUCGACCUCCUUCGGAUCUAAGGUGAAGCAAGAGGGGGGGGCAAUAUUGUUCUUCCUUGUUGUUUACUUUUUUGCCCCUAUCUUCUGUCUUCGUGUCUGUCUCGGUCUCCUCUGACGACCUUUUACCGGGCAUUUGGAGAUCUUUCCUGAUUUUCUAAAAUUCCAAGUCUUUUCUUGCCUUCGGCCCAUCCUUGGUCCUCUCCGGCAUGUUCAUCAAUGUUCCAACCAAGCUCUCAAGGAUAUUUUUUGUGAUAUGCAUUUGAUCAAGGCUAUGAGGCGUGUCGAGUAUGGGCCAGUAUUCAAAGUCCCAUAAAAUAGAUCUCGUCUUCCAUACCUUCAGUAGGGGCUCCGACGCCUUUUUCUUUGUCUUUCCCGGUGAGGGGCACUCUUCCCAGUUCUUCAAUAACUCAUAUAUUUCUGCACCGCUACGCUUACGUGGAGGACCUCGAUGCUUAGCCUUACUAUUGAAUAGAUCUCCACUCUUCCUCCAUGGGUCAUCCUUCUCGAGCCAUCUUCGAUGCCCCAUGUACACGAUUUUCAAAGACCCGCCAUCUUUCGAUAGCUGCAGAGAAGUUGUAUCAUCCAUGCACCUCGUGCAUCCGCAAUAUCCGUGGCACACCUGGCCGGAGAGAUAGCCGUAACCGAGAUAAUCCUGCACCAUCGUGAUCAGCGCGGCUCUCAUGUAGAAAUACUCUCCUUUGCUUGCAUCCCAUGCCUUGGCCGACGUUAUCCAUAAGGUCUGUAACUCCUCUUUCAGUAACCUGAGAUACAGAUUUAUAUCAUUUCCCGGUUGUCUCGGCCCUUGAAUAAGCAUAGCCAUGUGUAUGUAUUUUUCCUUCAUGCACAACCAGGGGGGAGGUUGUACAUCCAUACAAACACGGGCCAUGUGCUAUGAUUGGUGUUCUGGUUGCCAAAUGGAUUCAUGCCAUCACUACUAGCGCCAAGCACGAUGUUCCUUGGAUCAUUUGCGAAAAAUUCAAAUUCAGCAUUUAAUGCUCUCCACUGGCUAGCAUCUGCGAGGUGUCUCAGCUUCGGCUCAUCUCCGUCAUCUGGCUUCACCCAAUCCGCGUGCUAGCGCAUAAGCUUUGCUUCCUUAGGAUCUACGAAAUACCGCUGUAGACGCGGAGUGAUCGGAAAGUACCAUACAACUUUCCGUGGAGCUUUCUUUCCGGUCUUCUUAUAUCGUGAAGCAUUGCACUUUGGACAGAUGAUUUUUUCCGCGUGCUCGUUCCGAUAUAUGAUGCAAUCAUUGAUGCAGGUGUGAUAUCUAAUAUGUGGCAGAUCAAGAGGGCACACGAUUUUCUUUGCCUCCUCGACACUAGUAGGACACAGGCUUCCCGCGGGAAGAACCUUCUUUAGGUACUUCAGAAGCUAAUCCAGGCUUGUAUCUGUCCAUUUGUUUUUUUCCUUCAUCUUUAGAAGUUCUAGUGUGAAACUCAAGAGGGUCACCUCGGGAUUGCAACCAUCAUACAAAGGAGUCAUCGAGUCUACCUCCACUUGCGCCAGUUUGGCGUCCUCUCUAGAAGCAGCUCUGUCGCUUGUCGUCUUCUUGCGAAGCAGGUCUCGUACUAAACUUAGUAGCGACGAAGAUGGCGGCGUGUCCGCGUCUUCUCCGCCUUGCACUGCCUCGUCGCCAUCGACAUUUCCGAGGCCGUCUUCCUCUUCGGGCACAUAAUCGGUCAUCUCUUCGUCUGGUGGCCCCAUGUCGUUAUUUCCUGCCCCGUCGAUGUCCUCCUCCUCCUCCUCAUCACCAUCUUCACUUAUCCACCGAGUAUGGCCAUGCAUGAAACCAUGCAUGAGCAGGUGCGCCUUGAAUUUACCACCCUGAAAGGGGUCGAGCCUGACUUUUCCUUUGCAUUUUCGACACGGACAUAAAACAUCCUUCAGUCUUUUUUCAUAUAUGUCAACCACAGCGGAUUGCCAAUAUCUUUCCACCUUCCUUCCAUUGACCUUCAUGAUCACCUACGCGCGAAGCAAAUAUUUUAAACACGUAUAUAUGCAUGCAUGGAUCAAAUUCAUAAAAAAAUUCGGCAUGACCUUCCCUAAACAUAGGACAUAUUGAGUUUGCAUGCCCGAAAUUCGCCGAAACGGAAUUGAAUCGACAUUUCGGCAAAACAUAGGCAACUCAUGUCACUCACAUACCACACACAAGUCGGUAUAUUCAUAUCGCACAUAGUUUCGAUCCUAAUCGCAAACACACAUAUUUCCAUUCUUGCACAACUCUUUUUUUGCUCACCUAUUUGUGGAGAGGAAUAUCGAGCACCUUCUUAUAAUUAGCUAGUAGCUCUAGAUAGAGCUAUGAGAGGGAGGAGGGAGGGCAUUAAUGGAGGGGGUGGUGGAGGGGCAAAGAAGAGAAGGGGAGAAGGGGCAAAAGAAAGGAAGAGGNNNNNNNNNNNNNNNNNNNNNNNNNNNNNNNNNNNNNNNNNNNNNNNNNNNNNNNNNNNNNNNNNNNNNNNNNNNNNNNNNNNNNNNNNNNNNNNNNNNNNNNNNNNNNNNNNNNNNNNNNNNNNNNNNNNNNNNNNNNNNNNNNNNNNNNNNNNNNNNNNNNNNNNNNNNNNNNNNNNNNNNNNNNNNNNNNNNNNNNNNNNNNNNNNNNNNNNNNNNNNNNNNNNNNNNNNNNNNNNNNNNNNNNNNNNNNNNNNNNNNNNNNNNNNNNNNNNNNNNNNNNNNNNNNNNNNNNNNNNNNNNNNNNNNNNNNNNNNNNNNNNNNNNNNNNNNNNNNNNNNNNNNNNNNNNNNNNNNNNNNNNNNNNNNNNNNNNNNNNNNNNNNNNNNAAGAAGAGGGGGAAGCAUUGAAGGACAAGCAAGUGCAAGAGGGGGGGAGAACGAAAGGGGGAGGAAGAAGAGGGGGGAAGGUGGCAGAUAUUUUGGCUGGCGACCAUAGCAGUAGCGCUGGGCACCAAAGGGCGCUACUGCUAUGUGUGCCAGCCAAAAUAUCUACCGGUACAUAAAACUAGCUAUAGCGCUUGCCCAAAAAACACGCUACUAGUAAAAGAUUACACAUAGAAGAAGUAGCAUUAGCGCUUCUUAGUGGCACCGCGCUAUUGCUAUUUUCCUAACAGUAGCACUUGUUAGGGUACCAACGCUGCUACUAUUUUUUGGCCGAGGGGUGUGGUGUGGCUAACUUACCAGUAGCGUGUCCUCUACAAACCAACGCUGCUGCUAAGUUCUACCAGUAGCGCGGUUUGUAACACACGCUACUGCUAAUUAUCAGUAGCGUGGGCUCCAAAACACACUCUACUGGUAAACUUCUAUGUAUAAGCCUUUUCCUAGUAGUGUAUUAUUGUUGUCAUUACCCUUGAGGUAAAAGGUUGGGAGGCGAAACUAUAAGCCCCUAUCUUUCUCUGUGUCCGAUUAAAACUCCAUAACCACAAGUAUUGCGUGAGUGUUAGCAAUUGUGAAAGACUAAAUGAUAGUUGAGUAUGUGGACUUGCUGAAAAGCUCUUACAUAGACUCUUUCCGCUGUUAUGAUAAAUUGCAGUUGCUUCAAUGUCUGGGAUUAUAGUUUGUUAGUUCUCAAUGAAGUUUCUGAUUCAUACUUGACAUUGUGAAUAGAUUGUUCCUUUAGCAUAAGAAAUAACAUGAAAAUAUCCAUAUAUGUUGCUGUUAUAAGAAUGAUCCUAAUUCCCUCAUGUCCGUAUCUCAUUUUAUCGACACCUCUACCUCUAAACAUGUGGACAUAUUUAUUGUUAUCGGCUUCCACUUGAGGACAAGUGAGGUCUAAGCUUGGGGGAGUUGAUACGUCUAUUUUGCAUCAUGCUCUUAUAUUGAUAUUUAUUGCAUUAUGGGCUGUUAUUACACAUUAUGUCACAAUACUUAUGCCUAUUCUCUCUUAUUUUAUAAGGUUUACAUGAAGAGGGAGAAUGCCGGCAGCUUGAAUUCUGGGCUGGAAAAGGAGCAAAUAUUAGAGACCUAUUCUGCACAACUCCAAAAGUCCUGAAACUCCACGGAAGUUAAUUUUGGAAAUAAUAAAAAAUACUGGACGAAGAAAUUACCAGAGGGGGGCCACACCCUGACCACGAGUGUGGGGGCGCGCCCUACCCCCCUGGGUGUGCCCCCUGCCUCGUGGGCCCCCUGGUGGCCCUCCGGUGCCCAUCUUCUACUAUAUGAAGUGUUUCGUCCGAGUAAAAAUAAUAAGGAAGCUUUCGGGAAGAAACUCCGCCGCCAUGAGGCGAAACCUUGGCGGAACCAAUCUAGGGCUCCGGCGGAGCUGUUCUGCCGGGGAAACUUCCCUCCGGGACGGGGAAAUCAUCGCCAUCGUCAUCACCAAUGCUCCUCUCAUCGGGAGGGGGCCAAUCUCCGUCAACAUCUUCACCAGCACCAUCUCCUCUCAAACCCUAGUUCGUCUCUUGUAUCCAAUCUUUGUCCCAAAGCGUCAGAUUGGUACCUGUGGGUUGCUAGUAGUGUUGAUUACUCCUUGUAGUUGAUGCUAGUUGGUUUAUUUGGUGGAAGAUCAUAUGUUCAGAUCCAUUAUGCACAUUAAUACCCCUCUGAUUAUGAACAUGAAUAUGAUUUGUGAGUAGUUACGUUUGUUCCUGAGGACAUGGGAGAAGUCUUGCUAUAAGUAGUCAUGUGAAUUUGGUAUUUGUUCGAUAUUUUGAUGAGAUGUAUGUUGUCUCUCCUCUAGUCGUGUUAUGUGAACGUCGACUACAUGACACAUCACCAUUGUUUGGGCCUAGAGGAAGGCAUUGGGAAGUAAUAAGUAGAUGAUGGGUUGCUAGAGUGACAGAAGCUUAAACCCUAGUUUAUGCGUUGCUUCGUAAGGGGCUGAUUUGGAUCCAUAUGUUUCAUGCUAUGGUUAGGUUUACCUUAAUACUUCUUUUGUAGUUGCGGAUGCUUGCAAUAGGAGUUAAUCAUAAGUGGAUGCUUGUCCAAGUAGUGACAGCACCCAAGCACCGUUCCACCCACAUAUCAAAUUAUCAAAGUACGGAACGCGAACCAUAUGAACGUGAUGAAAACUAGCUUGACGAUAAUUCCCAUGUGUCCUCGGGAGCGCUUUUCUCUAUAUAAGAGUUUGUCCAGGGUUGUCCUUUGCUACAAAAAGGAUUGGGCCAUCUUGCUGCACCUUGUUUACUUUCAUUACUUGUUACCCGUUACAAAUUAUCUUAUCACAAAACUAUUUGUUACCUAUAAUUUCACUGCUUGUAGAGAAUACCUUACUGAAAACCGCUUGUCAUUUCCUUCUGCUCCUCGUUGGGUUUGAUACUCUUACUUAUCGAAAGGACUACGAUAGAUCCCUUAUACUUGUGGGUCAUCACGGUCUCACCACUCGCGCCCGAAGUGGUACGAGUGGAGGCGCCUUUCCCGUUUACGCCUUCGACAUCACCCCCCUGGUUUUCUGUUUUAUUCAAAUAUUAUUCAGAAAUUUGACUAAACUUUGACUAGCCACCAUUAAUUUCUAAACCAUAAGUCCAAAUGAUUUGAUUCUUUUUGCAUUGUCUUUGUUUCAGAAAGCUCUAGCAGCACACCAAAGGGUGGAUUUCUCCUUGCUGUCUAGAAUUUCGGGUGCUAUUCAGAGAGGUUUUUGAUAAUUAUUUUUGUGGUUUUAAAUUCUUUUUAGAAGGAGAAACUUGUCUUGAAGCAAACCAAGAGGGGUGCAAUCCUCCUAUACACUAAGGCAAGCCACACCAGCAUUUGGAUGGUGUUAUUUCAAUAUCUAUGAUUUUCUACUUGAAUAUGAGUUCUUAUUUUCAUUUAAAAUUUGAGAAAUAAAUUUGGUUAAUUGCUAGUUAUGUUAUCAUGCUUGAUAUGCUUGUUUUAGUUACUGGUUGAAUGCAUGAACUUGUUUGGCUAAGUACAGCAAGAUUUUGCACUAGACAUAUUGCUAUGGAAAUUAAUGAUAGUUAUUUUAUUAAGUGAUAUUUUCAAUUAAAAGAUGAACUAAUAAAAAUAUUGCUUGAUAAUAAAAAUGAGUUAUAACCAGAGAAGUUUUGAUUCUGAGUAUUGCAAGAUAUUUAUGUUGUUAAGUUUGAUCCAUGACUAUGAGUUGUUUGCCUUGCAUGAUGAGUAGUUGCAUGAUUAUGGCAUUAUGUCAUGUUAUUGAUAAAAAGUUUUUAUCAAAGCUAAACUUGAUUAAGUUCAACUUGAAUAUGAUGUUGAUCACAUCAUGGUGCCACUGAAUCGGGUUUUUAAUUCAGUGCGACCACAUUUACCUCGUGGGAAGGUCUUGAUUCGGUCCUUUGUUGUGGCUCUCACCGGUGCCUCCCGCGAGGGAAGGUUAUGGGUGUGCAUACCCUGGCCCGGUAGGCAGACAUAACCUUGUGUGCUCGUUUUUGUUUUUAUGGUACCUUGUCCCCGUUUGGGACCGUUUUGCCACGAUGGUGGCCGUUGGUGUCUUUGGUAGACACGGGGCCACCCAAGACCUAGCCCUAAGAGGGAUUAAGUCGGAGUGGCCGGGGAGAGUGCAUAACAAAGGGAGGGUUUCGUCGGAAUGCUUUGGUCUACCCGAAUGGGAAUGCGAGGCCAGGUGUUCUGUAAUGUGGGUAAAGUGCGCUACCUCUGCACGUGUAUUUAAUCUAUCGAUAGCCGCGUCCUCGGUUAUGGGCAUAACUCGUGAGUAAGUCACACCAUGGAUCAACUUUCAUAGUAAAUCUUGCAAACUAAGAGAUUGUUGUGAUGCAUUGUUUCAUGGUGAAUCAUGAACUCUUGAGGUGUUAAUGAGUGAUUGGUUUCAGGUGUGACCCCGGUAUGGUCACUGUUUGGUUACGAGGUAACCGUCUGGUAAGUGAGUCUGUGAGACUCAAGGCACGUAUUUGUUGCAUUGCAUCUGUAGUAUUUCUUGCAUUGGAUUAAUCUGAUUAAUUAUCAUGAUAUUGUCUGUCAUCGUGCUUAUGUUUGUUGUGAGCUUGCAAGUACAUUCAAUGUACUGACCUGGCGUGUUAUCCUAGCUUUCAGGCAAGUCGGUUCACAUCGGAGCGCAUCUCGUGUCUAGGCCGUGUCCACGUCGGUGUCCCUGUGCUAUGGAGUUCCACUUCAUCGUUCUUCCACUGCCGCGUAGUUCGUGUGAUCGAGGCCCCCGUCAUGUUCAUAACUAAUAUACAUACUAUGCAGCAGCACCGGGUGUGCCGCUUGGCCUCGUAUCUCGAUGUAAUAUCAGACCUAUGUAAUGUGACACCCAAGUUUUUAUUUGGAUUUUUCAAAAAAAAAAAUUAUUUUGACUUGGGGGGGGGGAGUGAUUUAAAUUUUUUUCUUCAAGAGAAAUCUCCCUCUCAUAUAUUUUUCUCUAUGGCAAAAUUUUUAUUUGGGUUCACCCGAGAUCUGCCUUUGACCUUGGAGGUUCUUGCUUUUCUUUUGGACUCAAGACAAAAUGGUUUUCAUUUGGGAAAAUAACUUUUGUAAAACUUUUUGAAGUUUGCACUAUGGCUUUUGGAAAGUCCUUUGCCACUUUCAACUAUUCGUUCUUGCCAUGGCCCUAGUGCAAAUGAUCUCCCCUAACUCAUCCCUCACCUCUGGAUCAUGAUUUACAUCAAAUCCAGCAAGUUGAACCUCCCCAUGUAUUUAUUUCCAUUCAAAUCUCAUUCAAAUAUUUUUCUGCCUUCUAUUCUACCUCUUGGAGAUUUACUAAGGAACUCCUUCUUCUGUUUUGAUUUUUGGCCCCAAACUUCUUUCCCCUCCUAGUCCAUUGAACCCUCAACCUAGAACCAUGAAGAUCCACUGGUCUCCAGUUCAAAAAUUUCAAACUACAUCAGCUGCAAGUUUGGACCAGAUUUGCCAAAUUUGGUGAAAUUCAUUCAAAACUUUUUCCAAAAAUUCCAACUAAAUUCAUGCAGCCCCUGGGUGUUUGGAGUGAUCAUCUCACCAAGUUACAGCUCCAGAAAAAUUUAUCUCUUUACCAAAACCUAUUGUCGAACACCUGCAGUGCAUGGUCACUGUCAAGUUCAGUUAACUUCAGAGUUCAGUCAGUGCUCACUGUCGUUUUCUUCAGAGACGGGCGUCGAUCUCGCAAGUACCCUCGUGUCGCCUUGCUCCUCGUCCUCGCCCUCUCGUUCCUGCACCGCACGAGUGCCUGGCAUCUUGCGGGCGUCGGCGACGAGCAGCAGAAGGUGCGCCGCCCCAUGACCGAUGCCGGCGGCGGCUUUGCGGACGCCAGCGGGAGACACGGCGCCGCCAACUCCACCCAGCGCCGCCCAAACCACCAGAGCCCGCCGCAUGGCCGUCCACUCCCCUGAAUGCGCUGCCGCUCUCGUCGUGAACCCCAGGGCGCGGAGCGCGCUCUCUGCCGCCGUUGAGCCCGUGCGGUCACCUCACCGUGGACAGACACCAUUACGCCAAGAACAACCCCGUUCAGCUGCAAAUCGAGUCCAGUAACAUCCACUGAUGCUGCUCGACCGCUCAAACCCUCUGCCAACCCACUGCUCCGCCGUAAUCGCUCGCCGGAGAUUCUCCGUUCACGGCCACCCCGUCGAGCUGCCUAUAAAUAGGGGCCCCGAGCUUCAACUCGAGCACCCACCAGCCCUACACUUCCCCUAGAGCACGCCUAGCCACUGGAAGAGCCCCGAGGAGAUCUCCUUCCUCGACUCCGGCCGCCGCGAUCCGCCACGGGAUCCAGCCCGAUUCACCCCCGUGUGUGCUCCGCAGGCCCCAUUCUCUUGCCAGUAGCUUCUCCAUGCAUCACCCGUUCUGACCCGCGCCUCAAUUCGUACUUUGCAGCCCUCCACCGGAGUUCCCCAACCUCACCCGAACCGCCGUCCGCCGGAGAUAGUGUCGCCGUCGACGUGGUGCUCCCCGUUGGACGAGUCCACCACCCACCGACGCGGAAGAAGACACUGAAGCUCUUGGUACCCUCCGUUUCUCCUAACUCGCCGUGGUUCGACGCCGGCGUCCAUCGCCGUCUUCGGGCGCCGGCGAACUUUCAAACCUGACAUGCGGGCCCCGCGUGUCAGCCUCUGUUUUAUUUCCCCAAACCGUUUUCUGUUGGCGCCUUCGGGCAAAAUAUGUUUUCCCUUUGCGCUUGCGCAUUCCCAGCCGAAGCGUUUUCUGUUUUCUCAGUUAAAACCCUGGAACUUUUCUGUUUCAUUGCAGAAAGGUCCCUGGACAGAAACCUUUAUAACUUUUUAAUAAAAAGGUAUUUUUGGGUGAUUCUUUUUCUGUCAAUCUCCAAAAUUUGUCUAGUUUUUUAUGGGAUUUAUUUGAAAAAUAUUUGGCAAAGUUUCUGUGCAUGUGUUGGUUUUCACGUUAGUACCCCGUUUCGUGAUUGCCGUAGGUUCCGGGAGAGGGGAUGGAGCCGCGAACUUCGCCGAGCUAGACUCCGACUUCUCCGAACCAGGCAAGCAUGUUUGAACAUUUGAUAUGGCAGAUGUUUUGCAUGUUCAUGUGAAAAGUUUGUGUGUGGCAUAUGAGUGUCGGUAAAUACCUCGUUGCUUGUAAGGCAACGACUCGGUUGCUCCGAAGUUGCGAUGACCUCUGAUGAGAGGUGGCCAAAUCAUGUGGUGACAUGAAGGGCAGCAAGGUGGUACUGUUGUAGCAUGCCAGCCUUGCGUCAUCCGACUUUCUUCGACGUUAGCGUGGUUGGAGCCACGUUGUCGAUCUUUUCCCGCAUGUUCCAAAGUUGCGAUGACCUCUGAUGAGAGGUGGCCUAAUCAUGUGGUGACAUGAAGGGCAGCAAGGUGGUACUGUUGUAGCAUGCCAGCCUUGUGUCAUCUGACUUUUCCGACGUUAACAUGGUUGGAGCCGUGUUAUCGUCCCUUCCCCUUUCCGUGCUACCACAUGUCUCAUUGCCAGGAUACGGUUUAGUAAGUUGGUAACCUCUUUCCGUGUACACACCAAAACAGAGAGGCCGGGAUGAUGGUACCUUGGCCCAGGAUUAAAGCCAGUCAUUCGGUCAGGGGCAUGGGUGUUUCCGGUUGGGACCGAGAGGGGGGCACCCCCUUAUAGCGCGCGUAUAGAAAUUUGAUCCCAUGCUACGCGAGGUUGUAGCCUCCCCGACUCAGGGUUUUUCCUGAAUGUUGCCGAGGGUGAUCCCUGGCUUCGGAUGGUUAAAUUGGGUGUGUACUGGUUAGACGUGUUCCUUCCAGAACACCGUAGACGGAACUAGUCCCCGUGACUACUGAAAUCCGUUGGCUGUGGUUAAGUACAAACUCUGCAGAGUCAAUUCUUUCCAAAUCAUCGUAUCCAUGAUCAGUAACGUAGACUUUACAUCCAAAUCUAUCCGUGUGAAAAUCUUUCCCCCGGUGAACAAGCUCAAGUGGUAAAUUUAUUUUCAUUGUUAUUCCUGUGGAUGGACUAACAUUAUAUUUGUCUCGUGCUGGUGAUAAAAUUAUAUUCCCGAACUAUUGUAUUGUUGUGUUACAAUAUAAGCCCUUUAUGAGACGUCGCGCAGACGUCCGACUGUGGCGUGUACUCGUUUCUCACUUUCGAUAUAAGCCCUUUAUGUGGUGUCGCCCCGACACCCGACUGUGGCAUUAUUAUUCUGCAUUUUUCCUCUCGAGGAGUCUUUCAGACACUCGUUUGGCACCUGUAUUAUUAUUCCGCAUUUUCCUCUCGAGGAGUCUUUCAGACACUCGUUUGGCACCAGUAUUAUUAUUCCGCAUUUUCCGCUCGAGGAGUCUUUCAGACACUCGUUUGGCACCUGUAUUAUUAUUCCGCAUUUUCCUCUCGAGGAGUCUUUCAGACACUCGUUUGGCACCAGUAUUAUUAUUCCGCAUUUUCCGCUCGAGGAGUCUUUCAGACACUCGUUUGGCACCUGUAUUAUUAUUCCGCAUUUUCCUCUCGAGGAGUCUUUCAGACACUCGUUUGGCACCAGUAUUACUAUUCUGCAGUUUCCGCUCGAGGCGUCAUUCAGACCCUCGCUUGGCACCCAGUAUUUAUUAUCUCUAUGUCUGAUCGCACUGGUUAACUUAUUCAUGUGCUUCAUGUUUGCAUUUGUUAUACCUUAUGUCCGAACUGUCCUGCGAGUACUUUCAUAGUACUCACCUGGCUUGUUGAUUUGGCCAGAUGUUGACGAAGGCGACCUCUUGGAUGAAGAGUUUGAUAGCGCGUCCGACGCCUAGAGGAGUCCCAGUCAGUCCUGCGCGAUCCCGGAUAUUGGUCACUUGUAUCGUUUACGCUUCCGCCACCCGCAAUAAGUCUUCUCGAGCCUCACUCCGACGCUCGAAGAGUUGUAGUAUCCUGGAAUCAUGUCACUCGCUUCGCGAUGAUAUUUCCACCACCGUUAUUAUCGUGAGUUAGAAGUUUGCCACCCUAUCCGCUGUAUUGUUUUAUCGGCGUGCAUGUAAUAAAUUGUUGGGCAGCCUAUGCUCAACUUUGUAUUAUAUUUAGUACUCCUGGUAUUUUUCUUCUGUGACCAAUGUAUUGUCUAUCAGUGAGAAGGAAUUCUUCCUCGCUGAUCCGUAACUGGGAUUGGUUUCUCAAUAAUUAUUUUAUUGAAAAACCGGUCGUGACAAGCUUGGUAUCAGAGCCAGGCUGACUGUAGGAAGCCACUAGGUGCGAUCGCUAAUCGGUUAUUAGCGUCUUUUGUGCUUUUUCAGCAUUUUGCAAUUGUAGCUAUUUUCUGUUGAUCAUCAUAAAUUUAUGACAUGACUACUCAGAAUUUUUGCCUACUUUUGUAGAUGGCUGGCAGCAGCUGUGAGAAUCGAGUGUUCACCAACAUGCCCGAGGGGUUUGUCAAGCUCCUCGUCUCCAUCACCAAGCUCGCGAUCGGGCCAGCAGCUCGCCCGGAGUUCUCCCUCUAUCAGCACAAGCUCAGUGACGACGUGUCUAUGCACCAAGCCGUGGUGCAGUUCAGAGGAGGACGAUCUGCUGCUCGCCACUUCCGUUUUACGGGAAGAGCCAUGCCUACGGAGAGGCAUGCCAUGUAGAUGGCUGCCCGUGAGGCGAUAGCUCGCCUUCGGGACAUCCUUCCUACGAUGAAGACUCGUCGCUACCGCUACCUCCCAUGCCAUGUGCCAUACACCAGCCACUAUGCGUUCGCCUGCCAUCGGGGAGAAAGAGACGAAGCCAUCGAGAUGGUUGUGGAGUAUCUCAAGGCUCUGGAGGAGUCUUUCGACAACCUCGUAGACGAUCUUGUGGCUGCCCGCAUGGACUUAGUCCGGGGCGGUCCUGCCAGCAGGAAAGAGCUUCUCCACACGGCGCCGCCUCUGACUUUCGUCUCGUCUUCAGCCUCGUAUGCACCGGCCGUUUUGGCCACUGCUCGCCGUCUGCCUACCACUGAGGAGUUCGAUCGAGUCAUCGCUCCUACUCCAGUCAGAGCCGCACCGCCUGCCGCACGCGUUCUACCGCCAGUCGCCCCCGCACCAUCACCGCAGCGCAGCGUCGCACGCCAGGAGCCAGCUAGAGAGGAGGAGGUUGAUUCUCCUGGACCGCUGAGCCUUGCCCUCGGCAAGGGGAAGGAGAUCUUCACCAUCUCCGACUGAGAGCACCGAGUAGCCGCGUGUUAUGCCUGCUGGUAUGAUGUGUUGUUUUUAUCUGUGCGCUAGUUUGUAUUGGUGUGUUUGCUGCCUUCCGGAGUAGUACGCUAGUUUUAAUAACAUGUCAGGAUGUGUACGCACAACCUGAGUGCUGUAUCUUGUGUUUGCUUUCGCAUGUAAGAUUUGUGUUAAGCACUUCUUCUCCGUGAAAAUUAUUUGUGUUUCUUUGAAAACCUUGAAGCCUUUUUGAUUAUUGCCUUUGCAAGGGUUUUCCUGCGCUACACAGUUUUUCUCAUGGGUUUUGCAAAUGAUACCCCAGACUGGAAAAAUGUCUCGCCCUUGGACUCGCUCUAUGCCCAAUCAGCCAGAAGAGGUUUACGGAACACAGACCAGCAACAAUUUCACUCGGGGUCAGUCCAGCCAACAAGACAGCGAAGCAGCACUGUCUCAAGUAUGCCGUCUCUUCGAGCAAAGUCAGCAACAACACCAAGAGAUGAUGAACCAUGUCAUCAACAUGGGAAACCACCCUGAACACUAUCAACCACAUUCCAAGUUAUCCGAGUUGCAGAAGACUUGCCCCUCAACUUUUGCUCACACUGAUAGGCCGCUGGAAGCCGAUGAUUGGCUUCGUGAGAUUGAAAGGAAACUGAUUAUCGCUCAAUGCUCAGAUCAUGAGAAGGUGCUUUAUGCACCACACUACCUUACUGGAGCAGCCGCAGCAUGGUGGGAAAACUUCCUACACAUGCACCCCAGGGAACACAACAUCACCUGGGAAGAAUUCAAGGAAGGCUUCCGUGGGGCACACAUCCCCAGGAGCAUCCUAAAGAUCAAGAAAGAGAGUUUGAUGACCUGAAGCAAAGAGGCAUGUCCGUCACAGAAUACAACGGCCAGUUUACCCAACUGUCUCGCUAUGCCUACGACGAGCACAUGACAGAAAACAAGAAGAUGGAAAAAUUCCUGGACGGCCUGGCACCACCGCUAAGAUGCCAGCUCAUUGUACACACUUUUCCGGAUUUUAAGACACUGGUGGACAAGGCCAUUACCUUGGAAAAUGAGCGCCGUAGUCUGGAAGAUAUCCGCAAGCGGAAGAGGGACAAGACGACUCUUGCCCGCAGCAACCGAGGCAAGACUGAGGUCCCAAGGACAGACACGAGGAGAUCCACGACUACCGAGCCAAGACCCGUCGGACAGUUUCAUGCGAGAGACAAGGAGUUCACCUACCGUCCAGGGGUCACCUGCUACGCUUGUGGUCAGCAAGGGCAUUACGCUAGGCAGUGCCCGAAGCCAAGAGACACGGCACCCAAGCCGAACAAUGGUGGAAACAAUCCAGCCCCCAAGCGCAACAACUUCAAUCCCAGCAACAACCACAGGAAGGGUCACUUGAACCAUGUGACCAGGGAGGAGGCGCAGAAUGCCCCAGACAUCGUGCUCGGUACGUUCCCUGUCAACACAGUACCUGCCACGGUUUUGUUUGAUUCUGGAGCUUCCCAUUCGUUCGUUUCGAAGAGUUUUGUUUCGCAACAUGGUUUUUCGAUACUUCCCUUGGAAAAAGCCAUGAUCAUCAAGUCCCCCGGAAAUAAGCAAAUUGCUCAGGGUUACUGCCAAGGAGUGGUCAUUGAGUUCGAAGGACUACCAUUCCACGCGAAUCUCAUCGUGUUGGAAAGUAAAGGACUCGAUGUCAUUUUAGGAAUGGACUGGCUAACCACCAACAAAGGAUUCAUCGACUGUUUCAAUCGAACAGUGAUUCUCACUCACCAUCACGGCAAGACUAUAAGAGUUUCCGCUCAAGAAAGGCCACGAUCACAGAAACCAAAACUGAACAAGAUGGACAUUGCAGAAUUAAGAAAAGUGCCAUUGGUAUGCGAGUUCCCUGAUGUGUUCCCGGAAGAACUACCAGGUAUGCCACCAGAUCGAGAGAUCGAAUUCAGCAUUGAAUUAGCACCUGGCACCGCUCCCAUUUACAAGAAGCCGUAUAGAAUGGUACCCUCAGAAUUGGUGGAGUUGAAGAAGCAGAUAAAGGAAUUACUGGACAAGGGGUUUAUACGAGCCAGCUCCUCACCAUGGGGUUCGCCCGUAUUGUUCGCCAAGAAGAAGGAUGGGACACUGAGACUAUGCAUAGACUAUCGAGCCCUCAAUAUGGUCACCAUAAAAAACAAAUACCCGAUGCCACGGAUAAAUGAUUUGUUUCACCAGCUCGCACAAGCUAAAGUAUUUUCAAAGAUUGAUUUGAGAUCAGGAUACCAUCAACUGAAGGUACGAACAGAGGAUAUCCCCAAGACAGCAUUCACUUCCAGAUAUGGGUUAUACGAGUUCACAGUGAUGCCUUUUGGUCUAACAAACGCCCCCGCAUUUUUCGUCCACCUCAUGAACAAAGUGUUCAUGAAAUUCAUGGACAAAUUUGUGGUGGUAUUCAUUGACGACAUUCUGGUUUACUCAAGGACACCUGAAGAACAUGCUGAGCACCUCAAGAUUGUUUUGGGAGAAUUGAGGAAACAUCAGUUGUACGCCAAAUUUAGCAAAUGCGAAUUUUGGCUAAGACAAGUUGGUUUCUUGGGCCAUAUUUUGAACCAAGAAGGCGUGGUCGUAGACCCAGAAAAAGUCAAGGCCAUACUAGACUGGAAGCCGCCCGCGAAUGUUACAGAUGUGCGGAGUUUCCUAGGAAUGGCAGGGUAUUACAGGAGGUUUAUUGAAGGAUUCUCCACGGUGGCAAAACCUAUAACACAGUUACUCAAGAAGGACAAGAAAUUUGUAUGGACAGAAGCAUGCGAGCAGAGCUUCCAAGAACUGAAGAAAAAGUUGACAACCGCACCAGUCUUAACUGUGCCAGACUUACACAAGAGUUUUGAAGUAUAUUGUGACGCGUCCCGAAAAGGUCUCGGAUGUGUACUAAUGCAAGACGGCAAAGUUGUCGCAUAUGCCUCCAGGCAACUGCGAAAACAUGAGGAAAAUUACCCAACACAUGACUUGGAACUAGCAGCAGUCAUACAUGCGCUCAAGGAGUGGAGGCACUUUCUGUUGGGAAAUCGUUGUGAAAUAUAUACAGACCAUAAGAGCCUCAAAUAUAUUUUCACAUAGCCAGAGCUGAAUUUACGCCAACGAUGCUGGUUGGAACUGGUCAAAGACUAUGACGUCGGUAUCCACUACCACCCAGGAAAAGCAAAUGUAGUGGCCGAUGCCCUUAGUCGAAACCCCAGCCCGGACAGUAACGGUCAGCAAAACUUGAGGCCUGAGUUUCAGCGAGAGUUCACUCGGCUCAACAUGAUGUUAGUCUCUGAGGGCACCAUAUCGAACCUGGAGAUACAACCCUCCCUAGUGGAACAAAUCAAGAAGGCUCAACAGGGACAUCCCAGCAUCGAAGGCAUAAAGAAGAAAAUGAACCGUAGUAAGACUUCAGAAUUCGUCACGGACAGUGAAGGAACAUUAUGGUACCGGGACAGACUUUGCGUACCUAACAUUGAGGAACUCAAGCAACAGAUCUUGACGGAAAGCCACACCGCUCCAUAUUCGAUCCAUCCUGGAGGAACCAAAAUGUACAAGGACAUCCAGGAAAGAUUUUGGUGGCACGGUAUGAAAAGAGAUAUAGCCACAUUCGUUGCUUGUUGCGAUUCAUGUCAGCGCAUCAAGGCCGAGCACCAAAAGCCAGCAGGGCUACUCCAGCCUAACAGGAUACCGGAGUGGAAAUGGGAUGAAAUCGGGAUGGACUUCAUUGUCGGAUUACCCCGAUCACAGCAUGGAAAUGACGCCAUAUGGGUCAUCACAGACCGACUAACCAAGGUUGCUUAUUUCAUUCCCGUGAAGACUACCUACUCCACACAAAGACUGGCAAAGCUCUAUCUAUCUCGUAUAGUUUGCUUGCACGGAGUCCCAAAGACUAUAAUAUCUGACCGAGGCACCCAAUUCGUCUCCAAAUUUUGGGAUCACCUACAACAAGCUCUGGGCACGCAACUAGCUUUCAGUACAGCAUACCACCCUCAGACAGAUGGACAAACCGAGCGUGUAAACCAGAUCCUAGAGGAUAUGCUAAGAGCCUGUGUGCUCACCUAUGGAUCCAAUUGGGAAGAGAGUUUGCCGUAUGCCGAAUUUGCGUACAACAACAGUUACCAAGCCAGUUUGCAAAUGGCACCCUUUGAAGCAUUGUACGGACGGAGGUGUCGUACCCCAUUGAAUUGGUCAGAAACAAGUGACAGCCGUAUCUUCGGCCCAGAUAUGCUUAAGGAGGCCGAGGAAAAAGUUAAACAAAUCAGGGACAGACUCAAGACAGCACAGAGCCGACAAAAGAGCUACUAUGAUCAGAAGCAUCGUGAGGUCAGCUUUGAACCUGGUGAUUCCGUAUACCUCCGAGUAUCUCCUAUGAGGGGUCUGCAACGGUUCAAAAUUAAGGGGAAACUAGCCCCAAGAUUUAUUGGACCAUUUUGUGUGAAGGCACGAAGAGGCACGGUAGCCUACCAACUAGACCUGCCCAAGGAGCUGUCAGACGUCCAUGACGUAUUCCACGUCUCGCAGUUGAGGAAAUGUGUGAGUAACCCGGAGAAACAUGUACCUCAUGAAGACAUUGAUAUGCAACCAGAUCUCACCUACAGAGAAAGGCCAGUAAAGAUUUUAGAAGAGUCUGAACGGAGGACCCGUCAGAAAACGACAAGAUUUUUUAGGGUUCAGUGGAGCAACCACACUGAGGAUGAAGCCACAUGGGAAAGGGAAGAUUUCCUUCGAGCAGAGUAUCCAUAUCUAUUUGAGGAUCAGCAGAAAUCUCGAGGACGAGAUUUUUCCUAAGGGGGUAGGUGUUGUGACACCCAAGUUUUUAUUUGGAUUUUUCAAAAAAAAAAGAUUUUUUAUUUUGACUUGGGGGGGGGGGAGUGAUUUAAAAAAUUUUCUUCAAGAGAACUCUCCCUCUCAUAUAUUUUUCUCCAUGGCAAAAAUUUUAUUUGGGUUCACCCAAGAUCUGCCUUUGACCUUGGAGGUUCUUGCUUUUCUUUUGGACUCAAGACAAAAUGGUUUUCAUUUGGGAAAAUAACUUUUGUAAAACUUUUUGAAGUUUGCACUAUGGCUUUUGGAAAGUCCUUUGCCACUUUCAACUAUUCGUUCUUGCCAUGGCCCUAGUGCAAAUGAUCUCCCCUAACUCAUCCCUCACCUCUGGAUCAUGAUUUACAUCAAAUCCAGCAAGUUGAACCUCCCCAUGUAUUUAUUUCCAUUCAAAUCUCAUUCAAAUAUUUUUCUGCCUUCUAUUCUACCUCUUGGAGAUUUACAAAGGAACUCCUUCUUCUGUUUUGAUUUUUGGCCCCAAACUUCCUUCCCCUCCUAGUCCUUUGAACCCUCAACCUAGAACCAUGAAGAUCCACUGGUCUCCAGUUCAAAAAUUUCAAACUACAUCAGCUGCAAGUUUGGACCAGAUUUGCCAAAUUUGGUGAAAUUCAUUCAAAACUUUUUCCAAAAAUUCCAACUAAAUUCAUGCAGCCCCUGGGUGUUUGGAGUGAUCAUCUCACCAAGUUACAGCUCCAGAAAAAUUUAUCUCUUUACCAAAACCUACUGUCGAACACCUGCAGUGCAUGGUCACUGUCAAGUUCAGUUAACUUCAGAGUUCAGUCAGUGCUCACUGUCGUUUUCUUCAGAGACGGGCGUCGAUCUCGCCAGUACCCUCGCGCCGUUGCGCGCUAGCACAUCCGUUUUCUUGCUUGAUUUUUAUACGAUUUUCUGAGGCGAAGAUAUAGGAGGUAUGAAACAAACAUAAUGUCAGUACAUGUCAAUCACACUCAAGGAUAGAUAAUUUAGCGUUCCAUCACAACAUAAACUAAAAACAAAUGAAGAAUCUCGCUAAUAAAUAAGUAAAAACGACGCUCGUCAAGCACAGUUUGCUGCGAUCGUGCCAGCGGCAUCACCGAUUGGUUGCGCGGAUGUGGUCACAACAGGCAGUAAAAACCUUAUUAUAGCAGUUAGAGUAGUGGUUUAAUACAUGUAUGUCCA
rnacentral:lncRNA from 1 species